AUGGUGGCCAUCACCAUCUGCCCGCCUAUUCUCAAGCAGAUCAACCGCACCCUCCGCGAGUUCCUGUGGUACGGCAGAAAGGAGACCCGCAGCGGCCACGGUCCCGUCAACUGGCAACGCGUCUGUCACCCUCUCGAGCUCGGCGGGCAGGGCAUUCAGGACCUCCACCGCCAGGGGAUCGCCCUGCGAUUCCAGUGGCUUUGGCUCCAGCGCACGGAUCCCUCCAAGCCUUGGGCGCAUCUCCAACUCCCGAGCGACCACGACGUCUCUGCCAUCUUCAGGGCUUCCACAUCCUGGGACGUUGGUGAUGGCCAAACAUGCCUCUUUUGGACCGACCACUGGCUCAACGGUCGCACCAUCUCGGAUCUAGCUCCGUCCCUGCUUCCUCUGGUUCCACGGCGCCUGCGCAAGCGCUCCGCCGCCGAUGCCCUUCAGGACCGUCGCUGGAUCGCUGAUCUACGCGGCGCUCUCAACCCCACCGCCUUGAUCGAUUACGUCCGCCUCUGGAGAUUGCUCCGGUUCACCACCCUCUCCUCCCGCCUGGACCGCCUCCUCUGGCGAUGGACUUCCAAUGCCAAAUACUCGUCCAGAUCCUACUAUCGCGCUCUCUACUCCGGAUCCACUCAUGCACCAUUCUGGCGCCUUACAUGGAGAUGUUGGGCUCCCCUCCGCAUCAAGAUUUUCACUUGGCUCUCUGACCUCGACCGCUGCUGGACGUAUGCUCGACUCGCUCGUCAUGGCCUGCCGCACAAGGAUCGUUGUACCCUGUGUGACCAGGCCGAGGAGACCAUGCAGCACAUCAUCAUUGGAUGCCCCUUCUCGUGGGCUGAGCCUUGUUUCUUUGUAGACACGAUGUUUUUCGUGGGCUGA
rnacentral:rRNA from 1 species